rnacentral:rRNA from 1 species
AUUGAACGCUGGCGGCAGGCAGAACACAUGCAAGUAGAACGAGUGGCGGACGGGUGAGCAAUGUCUGGGAAACUGCACGAUGGAGGGCGAUAAAUACUGGGCACGGUACAUAAUACCGCAUACAGUCGGGUGUGCACAGAUGGGAUUAGCUAGAAGGUGGGGUAAAGGCUCACCUAGGCGACGAUCCCUAGCUGAGCUGAGAGGAUGACCAGCCACACUGGAACUGAGACACGGUCCAGACUCCUACGGGAGGCAGCAGUGGGGAAUAUUGCACAAUGGGCUCAAGCCUGAUGCAGCCAUGCCGCGUGUAUGAAGAAGGCCUUCGGGUGGUAAAGUACUUUCAGCGAGGAGGCGUUACUCGCAGAAGAAGCACCGGCUAACUCCGUGCCAGCAGCCGCGGUAAUUC